rnacentral:sRNA from 1 species
CGCGGCAGUAUUCCAAAUCUGUUUAAAAAACCGCCGGGUGGUUGUGGAAGCUCUGCCAUCUUGGCCAAUACUUCAACUUACUGGUGUGCGGCAUCUCCCCCCAAGUGCCCCGCCAGUGAAGGUACCGAGGAUCGCGUACCUUAUUGUUACACUCCUAAUGGUCUUGACCCGGAUUCAUCCCCCAGAACCCGG